rnacentral:rRNA from 1 species
AUGCAAGUCGAGGGGCAGCACGGGAGUAGCAAGUACUUGGUGGCGACCGGCGCACGGGUGAGUAACGCGUAUGCCAACCUACCUAUCAGAGGGGAAUAACCGGCGAAAGUCGGACUAAUACCGCAUAAAACAGGGGCACCGCAUGGUGAUAUUUGUUAAAGAAAUUCGCUGAUAGAUGGGCAUGCGUUCCAUUAGGUAGUUGGUGAGGUAACGGCUCACCAAGCCGACGAUGGAUAGGGGAACUGAGAGGUUGGUCCCCCACACUGGUACUGAGACACGGACCAGACUCCUACGGGAGGCAGCAGUGAGGAAUAUUGGUCAAUGGGCGGGAGCCUGAACCAGCCAAGUCGCGUGAAGGAAGAAGGAUCUAUGGUUCGUAAACUUCUUUUGCAGGGGAAUAAAGUGCAGGACGUGUCCUGUUUUGUAUGUACCCUGAGAAUAAGGAUCGGCUAACUCCGUGCCAGCAGCCGC